GGAUUUCUAAGUACUUAUAGCUAAUGUUUGGUAAUUGAUAACGUUACUGUAGAUAUUGGAGAGCCCGAGACUUGAGUCGGGAUUUGGUUAGCGAGCGAUCGAGAGUACGAUCCAGGUUCCAAUUCUACACCCCGUGGCUGAUAGGCGAGGGUGACAUCUUUCAGUCAUUCAGGGUGAGCUACUUGGUCAUCCGUGGCCCCUGAAGGACCUCCUCCUCUAUUUAUUUCUGUUUUUAUUUCGACAGACAAUAUGUAGCCUUCGGGUAUUUCAGACUUCUAUUCCGUAUUAUGUUAGUGCUCUUGUAUCCUCUAA